GUAGGUGGCAAGCGUUGUCCGGAAUUAUUGGGCGUAAAGCGCGCGCAGGCGGUUCUUUAAGUCUGAUGUGAAAGCCCACGGCUCAACCGUGGAGGGUCAUUGGAAACUGGGGGACUUGAGUACAGAAGAGGAAAGCGGAAUUCCAAGUGUAGCGGUGAAAUGCGUAGAGAUUUGGAGGAACACCAGUGGCGAAGGCGGCUUUCUGGUCUGUAACUGACGCUGAGGCGCGAAAGCGUGGGGAGCAAACAGGGAUUAGAUACCCUGGUAGUCCACGCCGUAAACGAUGAGUGCUAAGUGUUAGGGGGUUUCCCGCCCCUUAGUGCUGCAGCUAACGCAUUAAGCACUCCGCCUGGGGAGUACGGCCGCAAGGCUG
rnacentral:rRNA from 1 species